rnacentral:miRNA from 2 species
AAAAUAUAUUAAUUGGUACUUUCUCUAUUUAACAAUGUAAGUCAUUUUAGCAUUUCACACAUUCAUAUUGAUCUAGAUUCAUUACCAUCAAUAUAAAUGUGGGAAAUGCUAAAAUGACUUACAUUGUGAAACGGAGGGAGUAGUAAUUCAAAA